rnacentral:rRNA from 1 species
GAUGAACGCUGGCGGCGUGCUUAACACAUGCAAGUCGAGCGAAGCACUUAAGACAGAUUCUUCGGAUGAAGUCUUCUGUGACUGAGCGGCGGACGGGUGAGUAACGCGUGGGUAACCUGCCUCAUACAGGGGGAUAACAGUUAGAAAUGACUGCUAAUACCGCAUAAGACCACGGUACCGCAUGGUACAGUGGUAAAAACUCCGGUGGUAUGAGAUGGACCCGCGUCUGAUUAGGUAGGUGGUGGGGUAACGGCCUACCAAGCCGACGAUCAGUAGCCGACCUGAGAGGGUGACCGGCGACAUUGGGACUGAGACACGGCCCAGACUCCUACGGGAGGCAGCAGUGGGGAAUAUUGCACAAUGGAGGAAACUCUGAUGCAGCGACGCCGCGUGAAGGAUGAAGUAUUUCGGUAUGUAAACUUCUAUCAGCAGGGGAGAAAAUGACGGUACCUGACUAAGAAGCCCCGGCUAACUACGUGCCAGCAGCCGCAGUAA